GAACAUGGCCAGUGAUGUUGCUGCAUCUCAGAUGGACCAUAUAGCACAAGCUCAUGCUGUGUUAUUCACAGGUAGAUGAUACUCUAGACAGCAGCAGUACCCAGGCAGAAGAAGAUGAUUGCUCAUCACUUCAUGCUGUUGUUGGCUGAGCCCAAGAGUUUCUAGACAACAGGACAAGAUUUCAACAACAUCUUUGGCUCAUUCCGGUAUGGCAACGUAUAUCAAAGUUAGGAAUCGUUAACAAAAUGAUGAUACCACGCUCCAAACUUUCUCAGCAGUCUGUUGCAGAUGUUAAACAGCAGCAUGAAGAAGGCUGAACCUUAUGGCACUGUACAGGUUACAGCCAGUGAACUGAUCUUUCUUCCAUCCCAGCUAUUGACUAGAACUGCACACUGUUCUGCACAGGAGUAAAACUGCUGUAAAACAG